GAGAGAUUCUGUGGUCCGGAUUGAGUUUGAAGUUCAUUCCACCACUGAGGAACAGUUAGUGUGAAGGUUCUGGAAAGGGACCUUGCGCCACGCUGAGUAGGAACUACUAAGCGUCGGUCGUUAACCGUUCGCAGGUUGCGUGAGGGAACGUACGCCUUCAGGAGAGAGUUGAGGUAGGAGGGAGCUGUUCCAGACAAGGUCUUGUAGGUGAGCAUCAAGGCCUUGAAUUUGAUGCGGGCGGAUACAGGAAGUCAGUGGAGGGAGAUGAAGACGGGUGUGACUUGGGUUCUCUCGGGCUGGUUGAAGACGAGGCGUGCGGCUGCAUUCUGAAUCAUCUGAAGGGGUUUGAUGGAGCUGCCGGGAGGCCCGAGAGUAGUGAGUUGCAGUAGUCCAGUUUUAAUAUGACAAGAGCCUGGACUAGUAUCUGUGUAGCCAACAUCGAAGAACAUCGUUAUCACCUAUGAUAAAAAAAAAUAGGUUGUGCUUUUGCAUAUGCAUGUGCUCGUCUUUUUAUUGUGUGUAUCUCUGCGAGAACAAAAAACUUCGAUGUCUUCUAUACAUAAGGCUUACAAACUUUUUUUAAGGCAGAGCUCCACCCAAUGAAAUGGUGGCCUUUCCAGCAGGCAGGAGCCCAGAACUCAGCCAAAUAAAAGUCUCUCCAGGGUACAAAAGAUCUUUGCACUGCUUUUACGUGAACUCCACCUAACAUUUCCCAUCGUCCGACAAAGUUCCAUGACAUCAAUGUUAAGAGUUCUUUACUGCUUGGAAAUUGGACAUUUUGCCAAAAUUCCUGAAGACCGGAGACAAGUCGAGUCGGGAAACGGGACUGAUUAGAAACACAGCAGAGACGGUGGCUUCCGCGCGUCUGCUCUCGCUAGAGAGAGAGAGAACUGAUUUUCAGUGUGCAGUAAUUUCACAGUGUCUCAGUACUUGAACAUGAAUGCACACCUUAUAUACUCACAAACAAAGCAAUGUAGACCGCAUCACUUUUAAAUUCUUGAUUUUGAUUGGUCAGAACGUCAGUGGGUCAUACUUAGCCAUUUCUGUAGUAAGAGCUUAUACAAGGACAUCAAAUCUAGAGUCACUCUAAUUGAGGGUCAGAGAAAGUAUACCAUGUAGAAAAAAGUCUGUGUUGGAAUAUAAGCUGCUAUAAAUGUUCAUAAAGGGCUUAUGUAGGUGUCAUUUUGGAACAAGAGAUGUUAUUAAAUGUUUAUAAAGGGCUUAUGUAGGUGUCGUGUUGGAACAAGAGAUGUUAUUAAAUGUUUAUGAAGGGCUUAUGUAGGUGUCAUGUUGGAACAAGAGAUGUUAUUAAAUGUUUAUAAAAUGCAUAGGUAGUCAUGUUGGAACAAGAGAUAUUAAAUGUUUAUAAAGGGCUUAUGUAGUGUCAUGUUGGAACAAGAGAUGUUAUUAAAUGUUUAUCAAACGCAUAUGUAGUCAUGCUGGAACAAGAGAUGUUAUUAAAAGUUUAUAAAGGGCUUAUGUAGGUGUCGUGUUGGAACAAGAGAUGUUAUCAAAUGUUUAUAAAGGGCUUAUGUAGUGUCAUGUUGGAAGAAGAGAUGUUAUUAAAUGUUCAUAAAGGGCUUAUGUAGUGUCAUGUUGGAACAAGAGAUGUUAUUAAAUGUUCAUAAAGGGCUUAUGUAGUGUCAUGUUGGAACAAGAGAUGUUAUUAAAUGUUCAUAAAGGGCUUAUGUAGUGUCAUGUUGGAACAAGAGAUGUAAUCAAAUGUUUAUAAAACGCAUAUGUAGUCAUGCUGGAACAAAAGAUGUUAUCAAAUGUUUAUAAAGGGCUUAUGUAGUGUCAUGUUGGAACAAGAGAUGUUAUUAAAAGUUUAUAAAGGGCUUAUGUAGGUGUCAUGUUGGAACAAGAGAUGUUAUCAAAUGUUUAUAAAGGGCUUAUGUAGUGUCAUGUUGGAAGAAGAGAUGUUAUUAAAUGUUCAUAAAGGGCUUAUGUAGUGUCAUGUUGGAACAAGAGAUGUUAUUAAAUGUUCAUAAAGGGCUUAUGUAGUGUCAUGUUGGAACAAGAGAUGUUAUCAAAUGUUUAUAAAACGCAUAUGUAGGUGUCAUGUUGGAACAAGAGAUGUUAUCAAAUGUUUAUAAAACGCAUAUGUAGUCAUGCUGGAACAAAAGAUGUUAUCAAAUGUUCAUAAAGGGCUUAUGUAGUGUCAUGUUGGAACAAGAGAUGUUAUCAAAUGUUUAUAAAGGGCUUAUGUAGUGUCAUGUUGCAACAAGAGAUGUUAUCAAAUGUUUAUAAAGGGCUUAUGUAGGUGUCAUGUUGGAACAAGAGAUGUUAUUAAAUGUUUAUAAAGGGCUUAUGUAGUGUCAUGUUGCAACAAGAGAUGUUAUCAAAUGUUUAUAAAGGGCUUAUGUAGGUGUCAUUUUGGAACAAGAGGAGUUAUUAAAUGUUUAUAAAGGGCUUAUGUAGGUGUCAUUUUGGAACAAGAGGAGUUAUUAAAUGUUUAUAAAGGGCUUAUGUAGGUGUCAUGUUGCAACAAGAGAUGUUAUCAAAUGCUUAUAAAGGGCUUAUGUAGGUGUCAUGUUGCAACAAGAGAUGUUAUCAAAUGCUUAUAAAGGGCUUAUGUAGUGUCAUGUUGCAACAAGAGGAGUUAUUAAAUGCUUAUAAAGGGCUUAUGUAGGUGUCAUGUUGCAACAAGAGAUGUUAUCAAAUGUUUAUAAAAGGCUUAUGUAGUGUCAUUUUGCAACAAGAGAUGUUAUUAAAUGUUUAUAAAGGGCUUAUGUAGGUGUCAUUUUGGAACAAGAGGAGUUAUUAAAUGUUUAUAAAGGGCUUGUGUAGGUGUCAUUUUGGAACAAGAGGAGUUAUUAAAUGCUUAUAAAGGGCUUAUGUAGGUGUCAUGUUGCAACAAGAGAUGUUAUCAAAUGUUUAUAAAGGGCUUAUGUAGUGUCAUGUUGCAACAAGAGAUGUUAUCAAAUGUUUAUAAAGGGCUUAUGUAGGUGUCAUGUUGCAACAAGAGAUGUUAUCAAAUGUUUAUAAAGGGCUUAUGUAGUGUCAUGUUGCAACAAGAGAUGUUAUCAAAUGUUUAUAAAGGGCUUAUGUAGUGUCAUGUUGCAACAAGAGAUGUUAUCAAAUGUUUAUAAAGGGCUUAUGUAGUGUCAUGUUGCAACAAGAGAUGUUAUUAAAUGCUUAUAAAGGGCUUAUGUAGUGUCAUGUUGCAACAAGAGAUGUUAUUAAAUGUUUAUAAAGGGCUUAUGUAGUGUCAUGUUGCAACAAGAGAUGUUAUUAAAUGUUUAUAAAGGGCUUAUGUAGGUGUCAUGUUGGAACAAGAGAUGUUAUCAAAUGUUUAUAAAGGGCUUAUGUAGGUGUCAAGUUGGAACAAGAGAUGUUAUCAAAUGUUUAUAAAGGGCUUAUGUAGUGUCAUGUUGCAACAAGAGAUGUUAUUAAAUGUUCAUAAAGGGCUUAUGUAGUGUCAUGUUGCAACAAGAGAUGUUAUCAAAUGUUUAUAAAGGGCUUAUGUAGUGUCAUGUUGCAACAAGAGAUGUUAUUAAAUGUUUAUAAAGGGCUUAUGUAGUGUCAUGUUGCAACAAGAGAUGUUAUUAAAUGUUUAUAAAGGGCUUAUGUAGUGUCAUGUUGCAACAAGAGAUGUUAUUAAAUGUUUAUAAAGGGCUUAUGUAGUGUCAUGUUGCAACAAGAGAUGUUAUUAAAUGUUUAUAAAGGGCUUAUGUAGUGUCAUGUUGCAACAAGAGAUGUUAUCAAAUGUUUAUAAAGGGCUUAUGUAGGUGUCAUGUUGCAACAAGAGAUGUUAUUAAAUGUUUAUAAAGGGCUUAUGUAGUGUCAUGUUGCAACAAGAGAUGUUAUUAAAUGUUCAUAAAGGGCUUAUGUCGGUGUCACAUUUCUUUGUCCUUUGCUAAAUGAAUAAGAAUAAUAACAAAAGGAAUAAUUCAUGAACGUAACUAUAUACAUAUAUAUGUAUGCUCCAGUUUCCUGAGUGUAAGAGUGACUACCCGGGCUCGUGAGCAAUUGCUGACUGAAUAAAACACUUACGUGCA